rnacentral:lncRNA from 1 species
UAAAAACCUUAAUCACCGUUUGGUUCGGGUAUAAGCAAGAACUGGCUAUUACAGGGAUAGGUACAAGUAUGGGGAUAAGAAAAAUAACGUUUGGAUGAAAAUUGGGUUGUUCCCGAGGAUAAGAAAAAUAUUAUGAAGUUUUAUAUAGAAAAUGGAGGUGUUGGUGGGGAUAACCGAAAACUACUAUUCUCGGAUAAAAAAUUAGCGUUUGGGUAUAAAGGGGGGGAUAAGGGCCUAUCCCUAUCCCUAUUCCCAAACCAAACAGUGCCUAUAA